rnacentral:lncRNA from 1 species
GAAAAUAUUUUAUGAUCUAUAUGUCCGUAGCGCAGGUUUUAUUUGACCUUGAUCUCAUUUUCAUGGUUUAUUGCUCAGUGUUAAGAUUUUGUGUUUUGAAAUAGAUAUAGGAAGAUGUGAUGUGAGUGCCAAUGAGACAACUCUCCAUACAAAUAACAAUUUAAAAAGUAAACCAUUAUAGGUUAAAGUACGGCCUUCAACACGGAGCUUUGGCUCACACCGAACAACAAGCUAUAAAGGGCCCC